GAUGAAGAACGUAGCGAAAUGCGAUACGUAAUACGAAUUGCAGAUUCAGUGAAUCAUCGAGUCUUUGAACGCACAUUGCGCCCCCUGGCAUUCCGGGGGGCAUGCCUGUCCGAGCGUCAUUGCUGCCCUUCAAGCCCGGCUUGUGUGUUGGGUCGUCGUCCCCCCCGGGGGACGGGCCCGAAAGGCAGCGGCGGCACCGCGUCCGGUCCUCGAGCGUAUGGGGCUUUGUCACCCGCUCGAUUAGGGCCGGCCGGGCGCCAGCCGGCGUCUCCAACCUUCUAUUUUACCAGGUUGACCUCGGAUCAGGUAGGGAUACCCGCUGAACUUAAGCAUAUCAAUAAGCGGAGGA
rnacentral:misc_RNA from 1 species